rnacentral:snRNA from 1 species
AUACUUACCUGGCAGGGGAGAUACCAUGAUCACGAAGGUGGUUUUCCCAGGGCGAGGCUUAUCCAUUGCACUCCGGAUGUGCUGACCCCUGCGAUUUCCCCAAAUGUGGGAAACUCGACUGCAUAAUUUGUGGUAGUGGGGAACUGCGUUCGCGCUCUCCCCUG